rnacentral:rRNA from 1 species
AGUGAACGCUGGCGGUAGGCCUAACACAUGCAAGUCGAACGGCAGCACAGUAAGAGCUUGCUCUUACGGGUGGCGAGUGGCGGACGGGUGAGGAAUACAUCGGAAUCUACUUUUUCGUGGGGGAUAACGUAGGGAAACUUACGCUAAUACCGCAUACGACCUACGGGUGAAAGCAGGGGAUCUUCGGACCUUGCGCGAUUGAAUGAGCCGAUGUCGGAUUAGCUAGUUGGCGGGGUAAAGGCCCACCAAGGCGACGAUCCGUAGCCGGUCUGAGAGGAUGAUCAGCCACACUGGAACUGAGACACGGUCCAGACUCCUACGGGAGGCAGCAGUGGGGAAUAUUGGACAAUGGGCGCAAGCCUGAUCCAGCCAUACCGCGUGGGUGAAGAAGGCCUUCGGGUUGUAAAGCCCUUUUGUUGGGAAAGAAAGGCAGCAGGUUAAUACCCCGCUGUUCUGACGGUACCCAAAGAAUAAGCACCGGCUAACUUCGUG